UACGUAGGGUGCGAGCGUUAAUCGGAAUUACUGGGCGUAAAGCGUGCGCAGGCGGUUAUAUAAGACAGUUGUGAAAUCCCCGGGCUUAACCUGGGAACUGCAUCUGUGACUGUAUAGCUAGAGUACGGCAGAGGGGGAUGGAAUUCCGCGUGUAGCAGUGAAAUGCGUAGAUAUGCGGAGGAACACCGAUGGCGAAGGCAAUCCCCUGGGCCUGUACUGACGCUCAUGCACGAAAGCGUGGGGAGCAAACAGGAUUAGAUACCCUGGUAGUCCACGCCCUAAACGAUGUCAACUGGUUGUUGGGUCUUCACUGACUCAGUAACGAAGCUAACGCGUGAAGUUGACCGCCUGGGGAGUACGGCCGCAAGGUUGA
rnacentral:rRNA from 1 species